AUAUUUACCUGGCAGGGGAGACACCACGAUCACGAAGGUGGUUUUCCCAGGGCAAGACUUAUCCAUUGCACUUGGAUGUGCUAACCUCUGAGAUCCCUACAUGCAGGAAAUUUGACUGCAUAAUUUGUGGUAGUGGGGGACUGCGUUCUCACUCUCCCCCC
ensembl:snRNA U1 U1 spliceosomal RNA